UAGGGAGACCAACUGAAAUUAACCUAAUCCACUUUCACGGUUAAUAUUCAGAUAUCCCUGGUCGUUCGAGGAAAUUGUUGUCAAACGUGCUUUCAAACUAUUACCUAGUUCGGUYGAUGGGCUAUUAGCUCAGUUGGUUAGAGCGCACCCCUGAUAAGGGUGAGGUCUCUGGUUCAAAUCCAGAAUGGCCCACCUUAAUUAGAAGUUAAAAAUCUCUAAUUAGAAAUCCUAAAUUUUUAAUUUGUAAUUUUUAAUUUGUAAUUUCCCAAAGCGUGGGGGUAUAGCUCAGUUGGUAGAGCGCUGCCUUUGCAAGGCAGAUGUCAGCGGUUCGAGUCCGCUUACCUCCACUCUUACCCAACCAGCCGAAAACAAACAGAAACAAAAGACCAAAAACAAAAAAAUAAGUCAAAAAACUGUUGCGCUUUUAGCAAUAUGUGAUAGACUAGAAAGAGUGACUAUAAAAGCUCAGCACCUAGAUUCAGCUACUAGCUAAUCGGAAUGCUGGUCUUCCAAGUCCAGCCAGAACCUUGAAAACUGCAUAGAAAUAAGUCAUCAAAAAGUUUGAGAGACAUUUACCAGGAAUUUAUUCUAGGUGAAAGUCAAAUCAAGCCGACAAUCAAACAAAAAAAGU
rnacentral:tRNA from 1 species